rnacentral:rRNA from 1 species
AUUGAACGCUGGCGGCAGGCCUAACACAUGCAAGUCGAGCGGAGCGGCGGACGGGUGAGUAAUGCCUCGGAAUAUGCCUGGUAGGGGGGGAUAACGUCAGGAAACGGCCGCCAAUAUCGCAUACUAUCAACUGAGCCUAGGUCGGAUUAGCUAGUUGGUGGGGUAAAGGCCUACCAAGGCCACGAUCCGUAACUGGUCUGAGAGGAUUAUCAUUCACCCUGGAACUGGUCAACGGUCCCGACUCCUACGGGAGGCGUCAGUGGGGAAGCUUGGACAAUGGGCGAAAGACUGAUCCAGCCAAGCCGCGUGUGUGGAGAAGGUCUUCGGAUUGUAAAGCACUUUAAGUUGGGAGGCGUUACCAACAGAAGAAGCACCGGCUAACUUCGUGCCAGCAGCCGCGGUAAUAC